AGCAGCCGCGGUAAUUCCAGCUCCAAUAGCGUAUAUUAAAGUUGUUGUGGUUAAAAAGCUCGUAGUUGAACCUUGGGCCUGGCUGGCCGGUCCGCCUCACCGCGUGUACUGGUCCGGCCGGGCCUUUCCCUCUGUGGAACCCCAUGCCCUUCACUGGGUGUGGCGGGGAAACAGGACUUUUACUGUGAAAAAUUAGAGUGCUCCAGGCAGGCCUAUGCUCGAAUACAUUAGCAUGGAAUAAUAGAAUAGGACGUGUGGUUCUAUUUUGUUGGUUUCUAGGACCGCCGUAAUGAUUAAUAGGGACAGUCGGGGGCAUCAGUAUUCAAUUGUCAGAGGUGAAAUUCUUGGAUUUAUUGAAGACUAACUACUGCGAAAGCAUUUGCCAAGGAUGUUUUCAUUAAUCAGGAACGAAAGUUAGGGGAUCGAAGACGAUCAGAUACCGUCGUAGUCUUAACCAUAAACUAUGCCG
rnacentral:sRNA from 1 species